rnacentral:rRNA from 1 species
UACGUAGGAGGCGAGCGUUGUCCGGAUUUACUGGGCGUAAAGAACGCGUAGGCGGUUCGUUAAGUUUGGCGUAAAAUCUCCUGGCUCAACUGGGAGGGCGCACCGAAGACUGGCGGACUGGAGGGCAUCAGAGGAAAGCGGAACUCCCGGUGUAGUGGUGAAAUGCGUAGAGAUCGGGAAGAACACCUGUGGCGAAGGCGGCUUUCUGGGGUGUACCUGACGCUGAGGCGUGAAAGCGUGGGGAGCGAACCGG